UCAAAUUUGGUUUAAAUUGAAUGUUUAUAGACAAAUUUUAUUGAAUAUGCUUCUGUAAAGGAAUAGGCUUUGCCUGCAAGGCUUGCAUGGACGUUUCUGGAAGACCUCCUUGGCUUCACCUUUCCUGACCUGACUUAGUAAGCAGCAUGAGAGCAAAGAAGGUGUAAGCCAAAGGCAUCACAAGCACAACAAAAGAAGGCAUGAGGAAGGUGUACUGGAGAGAAAUGGACAGGAUUCCUCGAAGGAGCAAAUCUGUGGUCCAAAAACAAUAGUGACACUUUUACAGCCAGAUUGUCUUUAGCUAUUUUUUCUCUCUGAGAAAUUAAACGGCUGAAAUGAAUAGCAACCAAACAUGGGCACAAGCUUCCCCUUUGUGAAAGCAGACCACAUUCACAGAUUUUUGGAAAGAGAAAAACAGCAGCAAAAAAAGCAGUUAUUUACCUACAUGUGAGAUCCCAUGGCUUCUUAUAGGAGAUAGCUUCCAUGCAAACUAAUGCAUUUAGAGUAUAGGACAAUACUUGGCAAA